rnacentral:RNase_P_RNA from 2 species
ACAGUCCAAAAGCCACGAUUGCUCGCUCCCCCCAGAGUGCCCUUGCGCAAUCUUCUUCGCGAGCGGGCUAAGGUCUGAGUAUUACAUCCCCCUGUGGCAGACUCUAGCAGGGUUUAGUCGUAAACGGCUAACCGGCGUACCAGAAAUACAGUCACCUGUCAUGUUAUACACAAAACCGAAGAUUCUGUCCUAAGGCAGAGGAGGACGUGACAAGGACUUUGAAAUCGUCGUGGGGUACGGUUGGCCUGUCGUCAUUGAUAGCCACUCCAUCGCGCUUAGUGCUCUCUGAGCGCAUAGAAGAAGCGGUCCGUCGAUAUCGUUGCGACGUCGAGAAUGCGCCUUCUGUUUGACUGUUGCGGGCCUUUUUUGUCCUGCUACAGAUGUGGCGUCCUGAGGAGAUUCCGGAAAUUGACCUGGCUAUCAACCGCAGUCUAGCCUUGAGUUCACUUCGUGGCUCGCGGUGCUACUGCGAAACUCGAUUCAGACUACUCUUGGCCUGU